AGUGUAGGAAAUUCUCAAUUUUACUUUGUUCGCUACUUUACUUACCAGGAGUUUCAGCCACUUACUAACUUAAUAUUUCAAUGCUUUAUGCGCACACAAAAGGAAUGAUUAAAAGAAUGAGACGAAUAUCGAUAAAUCUUCCCUUACCUGAAAGGAUGUGACGGCGAGCUGACUAAGUCCAUCCACGUACGGGCCCAGGACAUUGUGUUCCCUGACUUUCAGCGACUGUUUGUUCGGCUUUGGAUCGAGCAGAUCGUGCACCUUCUCGUUGUAGAUCUCCAUAUAGGAGACCUCGACUUUGCGAAAAUGCAGGCGUUGUAACCUUGGAACGCAUUGUCCAAAAUGUCGCGACCCAGGGCGUCGAACACCACAUCUUGAUUCGCGAAGUUUUCCACGGCCGGGUCCAGGGAAUAGAAACAAUGAUCGAACGCGAAGGUUUUCGGCUUGCUCCUGUAACAACACGAAAAGGGGAAGAGUGAUGGAGCGAAGAAACAGAAGAAAGAAGAAAAUGGUGAUGCGGAGGUAGAAGAGGAAGUCGAGGAGGAAGAAGAAGUCGAUGGAGAUGGCUAAGAAGUUGAUGAAGAUGAUAACAAACCAGGAGGGAAGAAAGGAAACGGGAAUAUUUAUAUGUGGAAUUAGUAUUUAUCUAUUAGAGUAAUUAUUUUCAUUUGUCCAGUGUUUUUAAUCAAAUUUAGAAUUGAAAUCUCCGAUAGAGAUUAAAUUUCCAUUUUAAAGAUACAGAUAAACCAAUAAAAUACAGUCGUUCUUUUACUAAAAAUUCAAGCAAAAUAACUUUAUUUCUCAC
rnacentral:misc_RNA from 1 species